rnacentral:rRNA from 1 species
UACGUAGGGGGCUAGCGUUGCUCGGAAUCAUUGGGCGUAAAGCGCACGUAGGCGGACUCUUAAGUCGGUGGUGAAAUCCUGGAGCUCAACUCCAGAACUGCCUUCGAUACUGAGAGUCUCGAGUCCGGGAGAGGUGAGUGGAACUGCGAGUGUAGAGGUGAAAUUCGUAGAUAUUCGCAAGAACACCAGUGGCGAAGGCGGCUCACUGGCCCGGUACUGACGCUGAGGUGCGAAAGCGUGGGGAGCAAACAGG